GGUGAAAACUGUGGAUGAGGACAUUGACUGGAAGCAACUGGCAACUCAGAAAGAAGAAAAAGAAGAAGAUGACAACGAGGCACCUGUGAUGUAUUGCAGAAGUGAUAGAUGAACGCCCAGAUGAGAUCAAGCAGCUCGAGGCAUUCGGUACAGGCAGGUGGAUAGUGAUCGCAGAGAAACCCAGGAUUCUGCAUUAGAUAAAAGGUAUAAAGAAACUCUCCUUCCUCUUUAGUUCUAAUUCUUUUUUUAAUUAUUACUGCAUAAAGAGUGUAAAAAAUAUUCCUUUUUAACUCUGACCCUGACAGAGGUCAUAGAGUGCGGCAUGAGUCACCUGAGACUUCUCCUGUACAGAGGGUGCGGCACGUUUCCCCUGACCUCUCACCCCAGAGAAGAGGUCGUCAUGACUCACCAGAUCUCUCACCUCAAAGACACAGUGCCGAGAACAAAAACAGACGGCAUGAUUCCUUAUCACCUUCCCCUCCAAGAAAGAGUCACAAGAGCUCACCCUCCAGAACUCAAAGGCCGCAUGAUAAAGAGUGUCCACACAGAAGAAAGACAAUUGCUGGCUCUUCAGAUGACUUUCACCGACCAGAAGACGAGUACGAAAAGGCAAAUGCUCAGACUCCGAUCAGUCCCCACCACGCAGACGUCCUCAUGGACGACGGGGCUCAAACUCGGAUCUAUCUCCACCCGGAAAGAGAGGCCAGAGUAG
rnacentral:lncRNA from 12 species